GGGGAUUUAGCUCUGUGGUAGAGCGCUUGCCUAGCAAGUGCAAGGCCCUGGGUUCAGUCCCCA
rnacentral:tRNA from 1 species